UCUACGGGCGGCAGCAGUGAGGAAUAUUGGUCAAUGGACGCAAGUCUGAACCAGCCAUGCCGCGUGCAGGAGGACGGCACUGUGAAUUGUAAACUGCUUUUGUACGAGGAUAAACGCAGAUACGCGUAUCUGUCUGACAGUAUCUGACGAAUAAGGAUCGGCUAACUCCGUGCCAACAGCCGCGGUAAUACGGAGGAUUCCAGCGUUAUCCGGAUUUAUUGGGUUUAAAGGGUGCGUAGGCGGUCGGAUAAGUUAGAGGUGAAAUCCCGAGGCUCAACGUCGGCAUUGCCUCUGAUACUGGUAGGCUAGAGAGUAGGUGCGGUAGGCGGAAUGUAUGGUGUAGCGGUGAAAUGCUUAGAGA
rnacentral:rRNA from 1 species